UCCUACGGGAGGCAGCAGUGGGGAAUAUUGCACAUUGGGCGCAAGCCUGAUGCAGCAACGCCGCGUGAGGGACGAAGGCCUUCGGGUUGUAAACCUCUUUUAGUAGGGAAGAAGCGACUGGGUUUUCCUGGGAGUGACGGUACCUGCAGAAAAAGCACCGGCUAACUACGUGCCAGCAGCCGCGGUAAUACGUAGGGUGCAAGCGUUGUCCGGAAUUAUUGGGCGUAAAGAGCUCGUAGGCGGUUUGUCGCGUCUGCUGUGUAAACCCGAGGCUCAACCUCGGGCCUGCAGUGGGUAUGGGCAGACUAGAGUGCGGUAGGGGAGAUUGGAAUUCCUGGUGUAGCGGUGGAAUGCGCAGAUAUCAGGAGGAACACCAAUGGCGAAGGCAGAUCUCUGGGCCGUAACUGACGCUGAGGAGCGAAAGCAUGGGGAGCGAACAGGAUUAGAUACCCUGGUAGUCCAUGCCGUAAACGUUGGGAACUAGAUGUGGGGACCAUUCCACGGUCUCCGUGUCGCAGCUAACGCAUUAAGUUCCCCGCCUGGGGAGUACGGCCGCAAGGCUAAAACUCAAAGGAAUUGACGGGGGCCCGCACAAGCGGCGGAGCAUGCGGAUUAAUUCGAUGCAACGCGAAGAACCUUACCAAGGCUUGACAUAUACCGGAAACGGCUGGAAACAGUCGCCCCGCAAGGUCGGUAUACAGGUGGUGCAUGGUUGUCGUCAGCUCGUGUCGUGAGAUGUUGGGUUAAGUCCCGCAACGAGCGCAACCCUCGUCCUAUGUUGCCAGCACGUAAUGGUGGGAACUCAUGGGAUACUGCCGGGGUCAACUCGGAGGAAGGUGGGGAUGACGUCAAAUCAUCAUGCCCCUUAUGUCUUGGGCUUCACGCAUGCUACAAUGGCCGGUACAAAGGGCUGCGAUACCGCAAGGUGGAGCGAAUCCCAAAAAGCCGGUCUCAGUUCGGAUUGAGGUCUGCAACUCGACCUCAUGAAGUCGGAGUCGCUAGUAAUCGCAGAUCAGCAACGCUGCGGAGAAUACGUUCCCGGGCCUUGUACACACCGC
rnacentral:rRNA from 1 species